GACGGCGGCCGCCUACUCCAAUCUUGCUGCGCGGUGCUCUUCACCGAGUGCCGUCGGCGGGCCGACACGUUUACUUUGAACAAAUUAGAGUGCUCAAAGCAGGCUCGAAUCUGGCGGGGCGGCUUCACGGCCGUCUCGUCAAAAGGCCCUGAAUACUGGUCGCAUGGAAUAAUGGAACAAGACCUCGGUCCCGCGCAUCUCCGCCCUUCGCGGGCGCGCGAAAUCGCCCUCCGGGGCGUUUCCGUGCGCGGGCCGCCGGGCCGCGGGCGCCAGUCGCCCGCGCGUCCCGCCGGGCCGGUUUUCGGGACCGGAGGUAAUGAUCAACAGAGACGGGCGGGGGCAUUCGUACCGAGACGUUAGAGGUGAAAUUCUUGGAUCGUCUCGAGACGAACUGACGCGAAAGCAUUUGCCAAGUACGUUCUCGUAUGAUCAAGAACGAAAGUUAGAGGUUCGAAUGCGAUCAGAUACCGCCCUAGUUCUAACUGUAAACGAUGCCAGCUAGCGAUCCGCCGGCGUUUCAUUAACGACCCGGCGGGCAGCUUCCGGGAAACCGAAGCUUUUCGGUUCCGGGGGAAGUAUGAUUGCAAAGUUGAACUUAA
rnacentral:ncRNA from 1 species